GUGUGUCGUGCGGCUCGAUCGAACACAAGAUGGGCAUUCACGGCAAUUCGACCUGCGUGCUGAAUUUCGACAACGCGGUGGGAACGCUGGUUGGCCUUGAGAACAAGGGCAUGGAGGCGAUGUUCGUGAUGAUGAACGAGGCGCGCCUCGGCGUCGGCGUUCAGGGCCUGUCACAGUCCGAAGUCGCCUACCAGAACGCAGCC
rnacentral:misc_RNA from 1 species